CCUACGGGAGGCAGCAGUGAGGAAUAUUGGUCAAUGGGCGCGAGCCUGAAGCAGCCAAGUAGCGUGAAGGAUGACUGCCCUACGGGUUGUAAGCUUCUUUUAUAAAGGAAUAAAGUGAGGCACGUGUGCCUUUUUGUCUGUAUUUUAUGAUUAAGGCUCGGCUAACUCCGUGCCAGCAGCCGCGGUAAUACGGAGGAUCCGUGCGUUAUCCGGAUUUAUUGGGUUUAAAGGGAGCGUAGAUGGGUUGUUAAGUCAGUUGUGAAAGUUUGCGGCUCAACCGUAAAAUUGCAAUUGAUACUGGCAGCCUUGAGUACAGUUGAGGUAGGCGGAAUUCGUGGUGUAGCGGUGAAAUGCUUAGAUAUCACGAAGAACUCCGAUUGCGAAGGCAGCUUACUAAACUGCCACUGACAUUGAUGCUCGAAAGUGUGGGUAUCAAACAGGAUUAGAUACCCCGGUAGUC
rnacentral:rRNA from 1 species